AACGAACGCUGGCGGCAUGCCUAACACAUGCAAGUCGAACGAGACCUUCGGGUCUAGUGGCGCACGGGUGCGUAACGCGUGGGAACCCGCCCUUGGGUUUGAAACAACGCCCAGAAGGGGUGGACAAGACGGGAAAAGGUCUACGGGCCAAAGAUUAACGGCUUUUGGAUGGGCCCGCGUUGGAUUAGCUAGUUGGUAGGGUAAAAGCCUACCAAGGCGACGAUCCAUAGCUGGUCUGAGAGGAUGAUCAGCCACACUGGGACUGAGACACGGCCCAGACUCCUACGGGAGGCAGCAGUGGGGAAUAUUGGACAAUGGGCGAAAGCCUGAUCCAGCAAUGCCGCGUGAGUGAUGAAGGCCUUAGGGUUGUAAAGCUCUUUUACCCGGGAUGAUAAUGACAGUACCGGGAGAAUAAGCUCCGGCUAACUCCGUG
rnacentral:rRNA from 1 species